rfam:Schistosoma mansoni strain Puerto Rico chromosome 3, complete genome
AUCCGGCUGACGAGUCCCAAAUAGGACGAAAAGCACGUCAAACUGGAU